UCCCGGGUUCACGCCAUUCUCCUGCCUCAGUCUCCCGAGUAGCUGGGACUACAGGCGCCCACCACCGUGCCCAGCUAAUUUUUUGUAUUUUCAGUAGAGACGGGGUUUCACCGUGUUAGCCAGGAUGGUCUCGAUCUCCUGACCUCGUCAUCCUCCCGCCUCGGCGUGAGCCACCGCGCCUGGCACCUUAACUAGUUUCUAAACUCCAGAAAUAUUAGUGUUCUCAGGCUUUCAGAAGAGAGCCAUGGUCUAACACGAGGUGCUUGGUAACUGCAUGGUCAUGUGGUCGGCUUGCUGUUUUCGCCUGGUGACUUCCUCACCUGUGCGGGGUCUGCCCGUUUAACGCACCUGCAACAUGCAUUCCUGGACAGUGGGUGGCGCCAUGGAACCAUCUGCCGUUCUCACUGCACCCCUUCAUUUGUGGCAGCCUUAGCUUUUAGUGGAUGAGGGGAGUCUAUUGGUUGAUAAAAAAGACUGUGAGACUUUUAAAGCAUAUCCAUCGACAGUGAUAACGAGGAGACGUAAGCAGGAAAGGAGGCAAAAUGAUCCACUAUGCCAGUGGUCAGGAAACGUGUCUCAGGAGGUGGCACAGAAACUGCCAAGUCCUUGGCAUGCCCCUGGCUGGGGCCUGCGUGGGCCAGGCUGAGAGAGCUGUGGACUGAAGAGAAGCAGGUGUUAGACGUGCAGACAGUUCCCGGGCAGGAGCUGGAGGCC
rnacentral:lncRNA from 1 species